GGAUGGAGGAAUCGAACCUGGGUGGGCCGCGUGCAAGGCAAACACCUUACCCACUGUGAUAUUGCUCCAUGUGCCUCCCGAAGCUGCAGCUUGGUUGAAGUUUUGGGGACCUUCCCCAAAUAGAGUCUGACCAGUCUUCGGCCGAGGGCAUACGAGUAGCUGCACUCCCCUGCUAGAAUCUCUAAACAAGCUCUCAAGGACUUCACAUUCUUCCCUUCAUUUAAUGAAAUAUAUUUCAUAAAAUGAAAUAUAUUUUAUG
rnacentral:snRNA from 1 species